rnacentral:rRNA from 1 species
GACGAACGCUGGCGGCGUGCUUAGCACAUGCAAGUCGAACGGAAAGGCCCUGCUUUUGUGGGGUGCUCGAGUGGCGAACGGGUGAGUAACACGUGAGUAACCUGCCCUUGACUUUGUGAUAACUUCAGGAGACUGGGGCUAAUACCGGAUAGGAGCUCCUGCUGCAUGGGGGGGGUUGGAAAGUUUCGGCGGUUGGGGAUGGACUGGGGGCUUAUCAGCUGGUUGGUGGGGGAGUGGCUUACCAAGGCUUUGACGGGUAGCCCGCCUGGGAGGGUGAACGGCCACAUUGGGCCUGAGAUACGGCCCAGACUCCUACGGGAGGCAGCAGUGGGGAACCUUGCCCAAUGGGCGGACGCGUGAUGCAGAAACGCCGCGUGCGGGAUGACGGCCUUCGGGUUGUGAACCGCUUUCGCCUGUGACGAAGCGUGAGUGACGGUAAUGGGUAAAGAAGCACCGGCUAACUACGUG